AUGGGGAGCUUCAGAGGAGUACCUUUUGAUGCUAAGUAUCUGAGCAACCGCAAUGCAAAGAAAAGACUUAAACACAAGAACAAAGACAUUGAGGAGCUGCUGAAACUUUUCAAGAGCGUUGAGGAUAAGAUGCCAGGUUUCAGUUACCAGCUCCAGGUCGACGCACACAACACCGUUAGAAGUGUGUUUUGGACAGAUCAGAUAGGUAGAGAAAACUACAACUAGUUUGAGCAGUUUGUCUCUUUUGAUACCACCUAUUCCACAAACCAGCACAAUAUGCCAUUUGCCCCUGUGGUUGGUGUGGACAACUAUGGAAAGACUGUCCUGUUUGGUGCGACAUUGUUAAAGGAUGAGAAGGAAGACACAUUCAAGUGGUUGUUUCGAGCAUUUCUGAGGUCGAUGGGGGGUCUGCACCCGGAAACCAUAAUAACAGACCAGGAUGUCGCAAUGCGGAAUGCUAUACGUGAUGUCAUGUUGCACUCAACCCACCGGUUCUGCAACUGGCACAUCCAGAGGAAAAUGAAAUAG
rnacentral:rRNA from 1 species